rnacentral:rRNA from 1 species
AUGGUAACUUCUGCUCAAUGUAAAUAGCCGCAGUACCUUGACUGUGCAAAGGUAGCAUAAUCAUUUGGCUUAUAAUUGAAGUCUAGUAUAAAUGAAAAAUGGGGAAUUCUAUAUUGUGGUUAAAUUGAAUUUACUUAAGAAGUGAAAAUUCUUCUAUAUAUAAUAGACGAGAAGACCCUUGAAAUUUUUAUUUUUGUUGGGGCAACAUAGUAUUACUAUAAGAAUAAUAUAUAUGAACAAUAAAUUACUCUAGGGAUAACAGCAUAAUUAUAUAUGCUUGUGACCUCGAUGUUGGAUUAGGAAGAUUUAAAA